CCUUAGCUUUGAUUGCGUUAGCGGUAGAAACGACAUCCUUUUUUGUGCGCGCUUAUGCGCAAAAAAGAUAUAGUGGAUGACGCGACCCUUG
rnacentral:sRNA from 1 species